GAUUGUGGCUCAGUGGUAGAGCACUUGCCUAGCAUGCGUAAGGUACUGGGUUCGAUCCUCAGCAACA
rnacentral:tRNA from 1 species